rnacentral:rRNA from 1 species
CCUUUGACGUUAGCGGCGGACGGGUGAGUAACACGUGGGUAACCUACCUAUAAGACUGGGAUAACUUCGGGAAACCGGAGCUAAUACCGGAUAAUAUUUCGAACCGCAUGGUUCGAUAGUGAAAGAUGGUUUUGCUAUCACUUAUAGAUGGACCCGCGCCGUAUUAGCUAGUUGGUAAGGUAACGGCUUACCAAGGCGACGAUACGUAGCCGACCUGAGAGGGUUAUCGGCCACACUGGAACUGAGACACGGUCCAGACUCCUACGGGAGGCAGCAGGC